rnacentral:rRNA from 1 species
AUUGAACGCUGGCGGCAGGCCUAACACAUGCAAGUCGAACGGUAACAGAAAGCAGCUUGCUGCUUUGCUGACGAGUGGCGGACGGGUGAGUAAUGUCUGGGAAACUGCCUGAUGGAGGGGGAUAACUACUGGAAACGGUAGCUAAUACCGCAUAACGUCGCAAGACCAAAGAGGGGGACCUUCGGGCCUCUUGCCAUCGGAUGUGCCCAGAUGGGAUUAGCUAGUAGGUGGGGUAACGGCUCACCUAGGCGACGAUCCCUAGCUGGUCUGAGAGGAUGACCAGCGACACUGGAACUGAGCCACCGUCCAGACUCCUACGGGAGGCAGCAGUGGGGAAUAUUGGACAAUGGGCGCAAGCCUGAUGCAGCCAUGCCGCGUGUAUGAAGAAGGCCUUCGGGUUGUAAAGUACUUUCAGCGGGGAGGAAGGGAGUAAAGUUAAUACCUUUGCUCAUUGACGUUACCCGCAGAAGAAGCACCGGCUAACUCCGUG